GCCUAUGCGCACCCAUGCACCAUUGCAUCAUCAUUUGCCAAUUUUGGAAAGUGGAAGUGAGUGUGCAAAUAUCACUUGAUUCAUCUAUAAAUAAAGCUCCAUUUGCUCUUAAUUAAGAACACAAUUGCGCCAGCUUUGAUCCCCCAUUGAAAACCCUUCACUCUCAUAGGAUAAAUCUGAUAAAUUCAUUUGAAUUUGAGCUUGAAUCUCCACUGUUUUGGAAUUCAAUUCUCCAGGAAUCCAUUGCUUCUAAACCUUUCCAUUCUCUUCCUGCAAGCAAGUAGAGUGAGUCCAAGUGCAAGCAAGCUCAAGAUCCAUCAAGUUCAGACCUCCAUCGAAGGUAACGACGACGGCUUUACAGUGUAAUCUAUGGAGAUUGUUGAAGUUUGGUGAUUCUGACCGAUUUGGACGAUGGUUACCUGAGAGGCUAAUGGAAGGUUUUCGAUUCUGCAGGAUGUAGAUGAUGAGGUGGAGAUUCUGUGACCGAGAGAACUCACUCUGAACUCGUUCGCAGUGAUUGAAGGAUGUUAUUUGUUGAAUCUUGGCGGUUGCUUGCGGUACCAUUGAAGAUGAAUAAUGCGGAUGAUGACGAUAACGCGGCCAUGCGGUUAGAGGUGAGGUUCCAUGGGAGUUAUGGUUGUGAAGUGGAGGGUGAAGAAGGAAGAGAGGUUGAAGGUGGAGGAGAAGGAAGUGAAGAAAAAAAGAGGAGCUGUUGAAGAAGAUGGGGUGAGGUUGCUGGGAUUGAAUGGCUUGGAUUCGUCGAGUCGGACUUCGCUUCAUUUAAGCUGUUAUGCAGGGCUGUCCUCAGUGGUUUGGAAUUCUUGGUUCAGUUCACGGAAUUUUUGAGGUGGUUGAGGUUAGAUCGGGGAUAGUAAUUGGAUAUGUUUCGAGGCAGUUUGUACUGCCGGCUUGGAAAUGCAAGGAGAUCUAUGGUUUUAAUACGGCCGUGCAAGCUUCAUGUGCGGCUCCUUCAUUUGUGGCAUAUAUGAAUGAUCACUUGCUGAGGCCAUGACUGAUUAGUAGUACUGCCAUCAACAACGCCAUACGGUAAAGCGCGAUCUGUGGCUGCAAGCGAUAUUUGGUAGGGCGAAUGGCAUCUGGUUCGUUGCAAAUGAAUGGGGGAUUUAGGUCUUAUAUGUAUGGGUCUGUUUGUAUUUGUUUUUAGGUGUAAUUCAUGGUUGGUGAAUCCGAAGUCAGGAUUAUAUGUUAGUUUAUGGUUGCAUACAUUUGUAAGUUAGAUUACAUUGACUUAACAAUUUGAAUGAAGAUGGAUGCAUGGAUACAUGGCACUUGAAUGUUUGAAAUUAGGAUUGAAUUUGGUUUUGGUUCAAGUGGGUAAUUGGUUAUUUAGAUUGAAGUGGCGAUUGACUUUGGUUUUGGUUCAAGUGGGUAAUUGGUUAUUUAGAUUGAAGUGGCUUUUGGUAUGGAUUUGAAAAUGGAUAUGGAUUGUUGGUUUAUGAAAUUGUAAGUUUGGAAAUUCUCAUAAUUUUGUAUUGGAAUCGACAUAUGA